rnacentral:rRNA from 1 species
UACAUAAGGAGCAAGCGUUGUCCGGAUUUAUUGGGCGUAAAGGGUACGUAGGCGGGCUUGCAAGUCUGAUUUGAAAGCACAUGGCUUAACCAUGUGAGGUAAUUAGAAACUACGAGUCUAGAGAGUGGUAGAGGUAAAUGGAAUUCCAAGUGGAGCGGUGAAAUGCGUAGAGAUUUGGAGGAACACCAGUGGCGAAGGCGGUUUACUGGGCCACAUCUGACGCUGAUGUACGAAAGCGUGGGGAGCAAACAGGAUUAGAUACCCCUGUAGU